rnacentral:rRNA from 1 species
UGGGGAAUAUUGGACAAUGGGCGCAAGCCUGAUCCAGCCAUGCCGCGUGAGUGAUGAAGGCCCUAGGGUUGUAAAGCUCUUUCACCGGUGAAGAUAAUGACGGUAACCGGAGAAGAAGCCCCGGCUAACUUCGUGCCAGCAGCCGCGGUAAUACGAAGGGGGCUAGCGUUGUUCGGAUUUACUGGGCGUAAAGCGCACGUAGGCGGACUUUUAAGUCAGGGGUGAAAUCCCGGGGGCUCAACCCCGGAACUGCCUUUGAUACUGGAAGUCUUGAGUAUGGUAGAGGUGAGUGGAAUUCCGAGUGUAGAGGUGAAAUUCGUAGAUAUUCGGAGGAACACCAGUGGCGAAGGCGGCUCACUGGACCAUUACUGACGCUGAGGUGCGAAAGCGUGGGGAGCAAACAGGGUUAGAUACCCUGGUAGUCCACGCCGUAAACGAUGAAUGUUAGCCGUUGGGGAGUUUUACUCUUCGGUGGCGCAGCUAACGCAUUAAACAUUCCGCCUGGGGAGUACGGUCGCAAGAUU